CCUACGGGGGGCUGCAGUGGGGAAUAUUGCACAAUGGGGUAAACCCUGAUGCAGCGACGCCGCGUGAGCGAUGAAGUAUUUCGGUAUGUAAAGCUCUAUCAGCAGGGAAGAAAAUGACGGUACCUGACUAAGAAGCGCCGGCGAACUACGUGCCAGCAGCCGCGGUGAUACGGAGGGGGCACGCGUUAUCCGGGUUUACUUGGUGUAAAGGGAGCGUAGACGGCGAUGCAAGCCAGAUGUGAAAGCCCGGGGCUCAACCCCCGGACUGCAUUUGGAACUGUAUAGCUUGAGUGUCGGAGAGGCAGGCGGAAGUCCUAGUGUAGCGGUGAAAUGCGUAGAUAUUAGGAAGAACACCAGUGGCGAAGGCAGCAUGCUGGACGAUGACUGACGUUGAGGCUCGAAAGCGUGGGUAGCAAACAGGAUUAGAUACCCGAGUAGUC
rnacentral:rRNA from 1 species